GCUGGGACCAACUGGGACCAGUUGCGUGGUCAAACGAAGUGUGUUUUGUCCGCUCUUGCCAGCUUCCUAGAGUAAAGGGGAGGUCUCUGUCUGCUUUGGGAGAGGCAACCGAAGUAGAUCGUUCCCCUCCACACACG
rnacentral:snoRNA from 1 species